AGAGUUUGAUCAUGGCUCAGGACGAACGCUGGCGGCGUGCUUAACACAUGCAAGUCACGGGGGGCCCGCAAGGGUCAACCGGCGAACGGGUGCGUAACACGUGAGCGACCUGCCCAGUUGCGGGGGAUAGCCGGCCCAACGGCCGGGUAAUACCGCAUACGCGUUCCGGGGGCAUACCCUGGGGCGGAAACCUACGGGGCAAUUGGAGGGGCUCGCGGCCUAUCAGCUAGUUGGCGGGGUAACGGCCCACCAAGGCGAUGACGGGUAGCUGGUCUGAGAGGAUGGCCAGCCACAUUGGGACUGAGAGACGGCCCAGACUCCUACGGGAGGCAGCAGUGGGGAAUCUUGCGCAAUGGCCGAAAGGCUGACGCAGCGACGCCGCGUGGAGGAUGACGCCCUUCGGGGUGUAAACUCCUGUUGCCCGGGACGAAAGCCCGUUUCGACGGGGGUGACGGUACCGGGUGAGGAAGCACCGGCUAACUCUGUGCCAGCAGCCGCGGUAAUACAGAGGGUGCGAGCGUUGUCCGGAAUCACUGGGCGUAAAGGGCGCGUAGGCGGCUGGGUAAGCGUGUGGUGAAAGCCCGGGGCUCAACCCCGGGUCGGCCAUGCGAACUGCCCGGCUGGAGCACGGUAGAGGCACAUGGAAUUCCGGGUGUAGCGGUGGAAUGCGUAGAGAUCCGGAAGAACACCGGUGGCGAAGGCGGUGUGCUGGGCCGUGGCUGACGCUGAGGCGCGGCAGCGUGGGGAGCAAACAGGAUUAGAUACCCUGGUAGUCCACGCCGUANACGAUGGGCACUANGUCCUUGGGGGAGCGACCCCGUGAGGGCCGGCGCUAACGCAUUAAGUGCCCCGCCUGGGGAGUACGGCCGCAAGGCUGAAACUCAAAGGAAUUGACGGGGGCCCGCACAAGCGGUGGAGCAUGUGGUUUAAUUCGACGCAACGCGAAGAACCUUACCUAGGCUUGACAUGGCCGGGAAAGCCGGGGGAAACCCUGGGCC
rnacentral:rRNA from 1 species